AUACUGGUCCUGUGGGGAGCAGCAGCAGGAUAAUACUGCACCACCUCUUGGGGCCCUUAACAACAACAACAGUUUGGUGUGUGUGAUGGGCGCCAACACACGGUGUGAUUCUCUCCUCCUCUAUUUAUAUAUAUACAUUAGUCAUGCAGAUUACAUGAAGUACUAUGAAGAUUCUAUGUUCAAUAAAGCCUAGAGAUAA